UACGUAGGGUGCAAGCGUUGUCCGGAAUUAUUGGGCGUAAAGAGCUCGUAGGCGGUUUGUCGCGUCGAAUGUGAAAACCCGGGACUCAACUCCGGGCCUGCAUUCGAUACGGGCAGACUAGAGUUCGGUAGGGGAGACUGGAAUUCCUGGUGUAGCGGUGAAAUGCGCAGAUAUCAGGAGGAACACCGGUGGCGAAGGCGGAUCUCUGGGCCAUUACUGACGCUGAGGAGCGAAAGCGUGGGGAGCGAACAGG
rnacentral:rRNA from 1 species